UUUUGUUUGGUUUCUUGUUCCUUGACACACACACAUAUAUUUGUGCAUAGAUACACAGUCAUAUACCCAGACUCAAACCCUCACAUGGCUCCUCAUCUCUCUGUUUUCAUCCUCCUCAUCAUCAUUUUUUCCAGACUAUCAGUAAUGUCAAUGCCAUCCACCGAAGACACCGAAGACUCAUACUUAACAUCAGCGUACAGCAUGUAUAGAUCUGAAGACGUCAGUAGAUUACUCUACAGUUUGGAACGAACCGUCUUCUACCUGGUGAAAAUUGUUAAUGCAAUGUUCUUCCUCCUGUGCACCAUCAUUGCUGUGUUGAUUUUCAAGGUUAACAAAAUUCGAGGUAAAAUUCAGGAUUGUUAGAAACCAGACAGGUCUCUUUGGUGAGAACAGAUGUGUGACCAUACAAUUGUGUUUUAAGUUCCAUUAUUCACCAGCGAGAUGUUUUUUUUGUUUGUUACAGCCAAACAUUUAAUUCAAUCGGAAUGUUUUAUUCAUUCGUUUUACUGGUGAUUGAAGCUAAAACUACACUGUGUGCACAAUUAUUAGGCAAGUGAGUAUUCUGAUCUUAUCAUUAUUGCUAUUCACAUUUUCCAACUCCAAACCAUAUAAACGUGAAUGCUUAUUGGAUUGAAUCAUUUUCAGGUGAUAUGUAUUUGUGUGAUGAGGGAGGGUGUGGUGAAAGUGAAUAACAUGUGUAUAAUUAUUAGGCAGCUUCAUUACCUCAGGUAAAAUGGGCCACAAAAUGUAUUUAAUUAACUGACACUGAAAAGACAAAUUGUAAAAUGCCUUUCAGACGGAUGAACACUCUUGAAAUAGCUAAACUAUUGAGGCGUGACCACCGGACAAUCAAACGUUUUGUUGCGAAUAGUCAACUGGAGCGCAAAAAACUCACGGAGAAGAAAAGGCGCAAAUGAACUGCAAAGACUUGAAGAUAAUUAAACGUCAAGCUACCAGGAACCCAUUAUCCUCCAGUGCCACCAUAUUCCAGAACUGCAACCUACCUGGAAAGUCCAGAAGUACAAGGUGUCAAGUGUUCAGAGACAUGGCCAAGGUCAAGAAGGCUGAAACACCACCACUGGAUAAGAUUCACAAGUUGAAGCGUCAAGAUUGGGCAAAGAAAUACCUAUAGACACAUUUUUCAAAGGUUUUAUGGACAGAUUAAAUGAGUGACUCUUGAUGGACCUGAUGGAUGGGACCGGGGCUGGAUCAAUAAUGGACACAGGGCACCACUUCGAGUCAGGAGCCAGCCAGGUGGAGGAGGGGUACUGGUAUGGGCUGCGAUCAUUAAGGAUGAGGUAGUUGGACCUUUUUGGGUUGAAGAUGGUCUGAAACUCAACUCCCAAACCUACUUCCAGUUUCUGGAAGAUACUUUCUUCAAGUAGUGGUACAGGAAGAAGUCCUCAGCAUUCAAGAAGGCCAUGAUCUUCAUGCAGGACAAUGCUCCAUCACAUGUAUCCAAGUACUCCACUGCUUGGCUAGCCAGCAAGGGCCUCAAAGACGCCCGAAUAAUGACCUGGCCCUCUUCCUCACCUGACUUAAAUCCUAUUGAGAACUUGUGGGCCCUUCUCAAACGUGAGAUUUACAGUGAGGGAAGACAAUCCACCUCUUUGAACAGCAUUUGAGAGGCUGUGGUUGAAAAGAAGGGUUGCUAUAUUGAUAACUGAAUAUUUACUGAAUAAAGUCCAAAAUGUUUAUUUGUCAUUUUGCGUUACUUAUUUGUUACACUUACUCUAAAAAUUUAGAAUAAACAAGUGAGUUGGGAGAAAUUAUUUUUGUAAUUUAGUUGCCUAAUAAUUGUGCACACAUAUAUUCCCCUGAGAAAGACAAAACUCACUUUUUCCUUUGUUAAAAAUGCAGAUUUGAGGUUCAGUAACAUUUUGGAUUGACGGAGAGCAUUGUGUUUGUUCAACAAUCCUAAGGAAUACAAUUAGCCUAAUAAUUGUUGCCUAAUAAUUGUGCACGCAGUGUAUUUACCACAACCCCACAAUCACUUCCUUCCUCUCCCCAAUCUCCAUAGGCUACCAAAUAUCUCUAGGUUCAUACAUGAUUAGCCUUUCAAAUAUUUGAUGAAUUGUAUUGAUGCAGUAUACAAAAAAAAAAAAAAUGUAAGUCUCCUUUUCCCCCUCCAAAGUAUAAAGUUGCCACAUGGUUUUAUUCCUUGGUCUCCAUAAUAUUACUGGCCCACAGAAAUAUAUGAACAAACUGAUUUUCUGUUUUGUUUUGCUCUUUUGUCACUGAUUUAAUUCAAUAACCAGUGUUGAAUUGUUUUGAAUGACUAAUUACCACUGUUAACCUACAUAAAUGGAACACAUGCAUAUUUUGCUAAUAAAACAUUUUACAGACACUUUAGGCUACUUAUUGUUGGCUAUGAACAUUUUGCAAAUGUCUUGUUCUCGCUGAUGGUUGAAUACUGCUACUCUACCACCAGCAUGACGUCAUUGUGCAGUCCUAUAUAUGACAUGUGGAAUUCACAAAUAGAUCAUGUUACAGAUAGUACACUGUAUUCAAAUUGUGCUUUAGUACUGUAUAUUCCUCAUACAUAUCUUAUUGUGAUUUUUCAGACUUGUAUUUACCUUUACAAUAGUUGCUGUAUUGUUGUGAAUGAAAUGCUGUAACAAAAGUAAAGAACGAGUACAUAUUUA